rnacentral:rRNA from 1 species
GACGAACGCUGGCGACGCGCUUAACACAUGCAAGUCGAGCGAGAACCGGGGCUUCGGCCCCGGGGACAGCGACGAACGGGUGAGUAACACGUGAGUAACCUGCCCUCGGCACCGGAAUAGCCCGGGGAAACCCGGAUUAAUGCCGGAUGGCCCCUCUGCCCUGCGGGGCGGCGGGAAAAGGUAGCUUCGGCCUCCGGCCGAGGAUGGGCUCGCGGCGGAUUAGCUUGUUGGCGGGGUAACGGCCCACCAAGGCGACGAUCCGUAGCUGGUCUGAGAGGACGAUCAGCCACACUGGGACUGAGACACGGCCCAGACUCCUACGGGAGGCAGCAGUGGGGAAUCUUGCGCAAUGGGCGAAAGCCUGACGCAGCGACGCCGCGUGCGGGAAGAAGGCCCUCGGGUUGUAAACCGCUUUCAGGAGGGACGAAGCCACUCGGGUGAACAGCCCAGAGGGUGACGGUACCUCCAGAAGAAGCCCCGGCUAACUACGUGCCAGCAGCCGCGGUAACAC